CGAUUUUUGGAUAAAAUAAAAAAAAAAAGAUGUUGCGGAGACAGGAUUUGAACCCGUGACCUCAAGGUUAUGAG
rnacentral:tRNA from 1 species